UACGUAGGGUCCGAGCGUUUGUCCGGAAUUAUUGGGCGUAAAGAGCUCGUAGGCGGUUUGUCGCGUCUGCUGUGAAAUCCCGAGGCUCAACCUCGGGUCUGCAGUGGGUACGGGCAGACUGGAGUGCGGUAGGGGGAGAAUGGAAUUCCUGGUGUAGCGGUGGAAUGCGCAGAUAUCAGGAGGAACACCGAUGGCGAAGGCAGUUCUCUGGGCCGUAACUGACGCUGAGGAGCGAAAGCGUGGGGAGCGAACAGG
rnacentral:rRNA from 1 species